GCUACUCUAAUAGACUUUAUUCACCACUGCAUUUUCCUUCUUUCCUCCUUGUUAGGUAAAAUGUGUGGCCACCACGCUACAUUGGAAGCUCUAGUGCAUUGCAUAGAGGUCAUUCCAGCUAAGAUGAGAACAAUCUCUUCACUUUUGUUUUCCUGAAAUAAUAUAAGAAGUGGGUUGUGUAGAUUGAUAUAAGACCCUUAUAUCAAGAACUGGAAUU
rnacentral:misc_RNA from 1 species